rnacentral:rRNA from 1 species
CCCUUAGAUGUUCUGGGCCGCACGCGCGCUACACUGACGAAUGCAACGAGCUUAUAACCUUGGCCGAAAGGUCUGGGUAAUCUCCAAAUUUCGUCGUGAUGGGGAUAGAUUAUUGCAAUUAUUAAUCUUCAACGAGGAAUGCCUAGUAAGCGCAAGUCAUCAGCUUGCGUUGAUUACGUCCCUGCCCUUUGUACACACCGCCCGUCGCUCCUACCGAUUGAGUGGUCCGGUGAAGCGUUCGGACCGUGGCCUUUGGACGGUUCGCCGUCUGUUGGCUGCGGGAAGUUCGUUAAACCUUAUCAUUUAGAGGAAGGAGAANUCGUAACA